UCUCUAGUAGCUCAAUGGUAGAGCCAUCGGCUGUUAACCGAUUGGUCGUAGGUUCGAAUCCUAUCUAGAGAG
rnacentral:tRNA from 1 species